rnacentral:sRNA from 1 species
GCCGGGCAUGGUGGCGCACGCCUGUAAUCCCAGAAGCUCAGGAGGCUAAGGCAGAAGGAUCACGAGUUCAAAGCCAGCCCCAGCAACUCAAUGAGGCUCUCAGUGACUCAGUGAGACUUAGUGAGCCCCUGUCUCUA